UAGGGAAUCUUCGGCAAUGGGGGCAACCCUGACCGAGCAACGCCGCGUGAGUGAAGAAGGUUUUCGGAUCGUAAAGCUCUGUUGUAAGAGAAGAACGUGUGUGAGAGUGGAAAGUUCACACAGUGACGGUAACUUACCAGAAAGGGACGGCUAACUACGUGCCAGCAGCCGCGGUAAUACGUAGGUCCCGAGCGUUGUCCGGAUUUAUUGGGCGUAAAGCGAGCGCAGGCGGUUUAAUAAGUCUGAAGUUAAAGGCAGUGGCUUAACCAUUGUUCGCUUUGGAAACUGUUAAACUUGAGUGCAGAAGGGGAGAGUGGAAUUCCAUGUGUAGCGGUGAAAUGCGUAGAUAUAUGGAGGAACACCGGUGGCGAAAGCGGCUCUCUGGUCUGUAACUGACGCUGAGGCUCGAAAGCAUGGGGAGCAAACAGG
rnacentral:rRNA from 1 species